rnacentral:rRNA from 2 species
GGCGUGCCUAAUACAUGCAAGUCGAGCGGACUUGAUGGAGCUUGCUCCAUCAUGUUAGCGGCGGACGGGUGAGUAACACGUGGGCAACCUGCCUGUAAGACUGGGAUAACUCCGGGAAACCGGAGCUAAUACCGGAUAGUAUCUUGAACCGCAUGGUUCAAGUUGGAAAGACGGUUUCGGCUGUCACUUACAGAUGGGCCCGCGGCGCAUUAGCUAGUUGGUGAGGUAAUGGCUCACCAAGGCAACGAUGCGUAGCCGACCUGAGAGGGUGAUCGGCCACACUGGGACUGAGACACGGCCCAGACUCCUACGGGAGGCAGCAGUAGGGAAUCUUCCGCAAUGGACGAAAGUCUGACGGAGCAACGCCGCGUGAGUGAUGAAGGUUUUCGGAUCGUAAAACUCUGUUGUUAGGGAAGAACAAGUGCGAGAGUAACUGCUCGCACCUUGACGGUACCUAACCAGAAAGCCACGGCUAACUACGUGCCAGCAGCCGCGGUAAUACGUAGGUGGCAAGCGUUGUCCGGAAUUAUUGGGCGUAAAGCGCGCGCAGGCGGUUUCUUAAGUCUGAUGUGAAAGCCCCCGGCUCAACCGGGGAGGGUCAUUGGAAACUGGG